rnacentral:rRNA from 1 species
UACGUAGGGUGCAAGCGUUGUCCGGAAUUAUUGGGCGUAAAGAGCUCGUAGGCGGUCUGUCGCGUCGGUCGUGAAAACCUGCAGCUUAACUGUGGGCGUGCGGUCGAUACGGGCAUGACUGGAGUUCGGCAGGGGAGACUGGAAUUCCUGGUGUAGCGGUGAAAUGCGCAGAUAUCAGGAGGAACACCCGUGGCGAAGGCGGCUCUCUGGGACGGUACUGACGCUGAGACGCGAAAGCGUGGGGAGCGAACAGG